GAGAGAUACAGGCUUGCAAACAGUGAGAAUCCAGCAAAGGCAUGUACUUUCAUAUAGUUUUUUUAGAAUAUUUAUUUUUCCAGUCAGCCAGCUUCAUGAGUUAUUUCAGGCCAUGGUAUGUUGCCUGCUUGUUGAUCAGAUGCACAGCGUGAUAAUGACUUGGGAAAAAAAAGAAAAAAGAGAGAAAUGACUUACUGCUGGCCCCUGCAGAUUGUUUGUAAUUGGAUGUAAGUGAUUAAAGUUGUGCGGUGUGCACCCUGCGCGAUCCUUGCCUGGGUGUGUUUUGGUGAUGUGGUGGAUGAGUGUCUGUGCUGGGAGCAGCCUGUGUGGAUUGCUUCAGUGCUUGAUGUGGCAAAGGCAACCUCAGAUGGUCUGGUCUCAAGCAGCGUCCCAUCAAAGAGCACCACCUGCAUCUCACAGUGGCAUGGUGAGAGAGGUGGGGAGGCAGAAGGGGGGAGAACAGUAUCCAAAGAACAUUAGUUUCAUUUGAGGGGAGGAAACAACCCAUGUUACAUGCAAAAGCAAUGAGUUUUAAUAGCUUUUAAUAUGUUUUUAAACAUUUCCAUCACCCUCUAUAUUUUCAGACACAGCUUGGCAAUAAAUCAAAGUAAAAGCAAACA
rnacentral:lncRNA from 1 species